GAUAGUACACUAGACUCAAGGUCCAAGAUUUCUGCAUGAAAAUAACACUCCCAAUUUCUCAAUUCCACCCAACUCCGAAACUUCAAUCACAUUCAUGGCACUUCAAAUAGUCAUUAAUCAACUUCAACAACAUCAAUUUCAAAUCACAACACAAAAUCCCCAAUUUGGGUCAAAACCUUAACUUCAAUUUUCACAACUCAUGCAUAACACUUGUAAUUCAUGAUCUAACUUAAUUGUAUUCAAUCACAUUCAUGGCACUUCAAAUAGUCAUUAAUCAACUUCAACAACAUCAAUUUCAAAUCACAACACAAAAUCCCCAAUUUGGGUCAAAACCUUAACUUCAAUUUUCACAACUCAUGCAUAACACUUGUAAUUCAUGAUCUAACUUAAUUGUA
rnacentral:misc_RNA from 1 species